AUAUUAUUAAGCGGAGGAAAAGAAACUAGCAAGGAUUCCCCUAGUAACGGCGAGUGAAGCGGGAAUAGCUCAAUUUUAAAAUCUCCGUGUCUUACACGGCGAAUUGUAAUCUAGAGAAGCAUUUUCUAGUUCUGCUCUUGGUAUAAAUCCUUUGGAAAAGGGUAUCAUAGAGGGUGACAAUCCCGUCUUUGACUAAGAGUUUGAUCUUUUACGAUAUGCUUUCAACGAGUCGGGUUGUUUGGGAAUGCAGCCCAAAAUGGGUGGUAAAUUUCAUCUAAAGCUAAAUAUGGGCAUGAGACCGAUAGCGCACAAGUA
rnacentral:rRNA from 1 species